GGUCUCCUGGUGCCUACCAUAGGCUGUUCUUUACACCAACUGAAUAGAAAGUGAAUAGAUGCACAGUAAAUGCACCCCCAUAUAUUCCUCAACUCAGGCCCUUUGCUUGGUCUGUAUUGUGAAUGGGAAUAUAUGU